GACGAACCGAGCGAACGUUAUUCGGAAUCACUGGGCUUAAAGGGCGCGUAGGCGGGCCGCCAAGUCUGUGGUGAAAUCCCCCGGCUCAACCGGGGAACGGCCGCGGAUACUGGAGGUCUCGAGGGAGGUAGGGGCAUGCGGAAUUCCCGGUGUAGAGGUGAAAUUCGUAGAUAUCGGGAGGAACACCGGUGGCGAAGGCGGCUUUCUGGGCCUUACCUGGACGCUGAGGAGCGAAAGCUGGGGGAGCAAACAGG
rnacentral:rRNA from 1 species